CCCUGCACAGGUGGUGCAUGGCUGUCGUCAGCUCGUGUCGUGAGAUUGUUGGGUUAAGUCCCGCAACGAGCCGCAACCCUUAUCAUUAGUUGCUACGCAAGGGCACUCUAAUGAGACUGCCGGUGACAAACCGGAGGAAGGUGGGGAUGACGUCAAGUCCUCAUGGCCCUUAUGGGUAGGGCUUCACACGUCAUACAAUGGUCGGUACAGAGGGUUGCCAAGCCGCGAGGUGGAGCCAAUCCCAGAAAGCCGAUCGUAGUCCGGAUUGUUCUCUGCAACUCGAGAGCAUGAAGUCGGAAUCGCUAGUAAUCGCGGAUCAGCAUGUCGCGGUGAAUACGUUCCCGGGUCUU
rnacentral:rRNA from 1 species